GGUGAAAUUAAACUCCCUAGCGCCCUCUUUGUUGGAGAGAAAGAAAUUCAAUUAUGGCUGCUCAUAACUGAACACGAUUGCCUUUUCUAUCAGGACAGAGCUAGUUGAGGACAAGUUUGAGGAAAACAGAGCCUGUUUGGAAACUUUAUUUUAUGAACAAUAUUAGAAUUGUGUGACACCCCCCCCCCCCCCCCCCCAAUAAACCUUACUAAUGCAUUCUUGGUCCAGAACCCGAGAAUCCAUCAGACUGUUAAACCAGCUGAGCCCAAGGGACAACAUUGCUUGUUUAACAGCUCUCAUUCUCUGAUUUCUGCUGUCAAUCAUAUACUUUUAAUUUACAGUAACUUAAGAAGUU